UCAUAGUUUUUCUCCCUGUUAUGUUUUUUUUUGGGGGGGGGGUUGUUCCUUAUCCGAUGUGCCAAGGACAGGAUGUUGUGUUUCUGUAAAGCCCCUUGAGGCACAUUUGUAAUUUGUGAUAUUGGGCAAUACAAAUAAAAUUGACUUAAAUGUUUUCCAAAUGGAUAAUAAGACAUAUGUCGACACGUCUACAUGUUUCGACAGGAGUAACGGAUGUGGCUGGUUAAGAAGACGAAAUGAAAGUAAACUGAAGAGAGCUGAUUCAAGUGCAGCGUCACAUGAACUCAGAUGAUAAAAGAGACAGCGUAAAACAGAAUACACAUUGGAGCCCUAAAUGGACCAGUAAACCCCAGAAAUGGCACACGACACAUCAGAUAUGGAUCUCCAGACUUGCCACUGCGGCUGGUCCAGGUUCACAACUCUUCAGGGUCUGAGAAUUCACCAGGGGAAGAUGGGAUGCAACAAAAAGGGAAUGAGAUAUGCUGAAACACCAACUCCACCACAAGUGGAAACUCAGUGGAGGAAGGUGAAACAACGGGACACACGGCAGGAUAAUAUUGCCCCUAUCGAGAAUGAUCACAAUGUCAUCUGCAAACAUCAUAGUCCACGGAGACUUAUUGAGGAAAUUCAGUGAACGGAGUUAAACAGUGCAAAACAUGGAGUGAUAAACAAACAGAGUGCCUGCAAAAAAGCUUGAAGGUGGCACGAGCGACUCCAUUGGUGCUCUAAGUGAAAUUCCACAAGCUAAUAGGGGUUCAAACCAGGCUGUAAAUUCUGACUACGAGAGAAGUGGCUAUCACAAGGGCCACCUUUUUCC